ensembl:snoRNA U3 Small nucleolar RNA U3
AAGAAUACUUUCAGGGAUCAUUUCUAUAGUUCAUUACUAGAGAAGUUUCUCUAAACAUGUAGAGCAUCAAAACUG